UUCUUCUUCUUCUUCUUCUUCUUCUUCUUCUUCUUCUUCUUCUUCUUCUUCUUCUUCUUCUUCUUCUUCUUCUUCUUCUUCUUCCUUCACCUAAUUUAAUCUAACCAAACUACUACUGCUACUACUACUACAAUUUUUCUCCUCCUCCUGCUCUUUUGUCUUACCUAACAUAACCAAACUACUACUACUACUACCUACAACUACUACUACUACAGCUCUGGAUAGUAUAUAUAUGUCUGGUGCAUGCUGAGGACAAGGCACACCUCCCAAGACUAUCCGGUGUGGCGUUAGUCAAGCCAUGGCAAAUAGUCUGGAGCCCUUGCCUUUGUACUAUUCCUGAUAGUCUUUGCUGUGGCUGCUGCUGCUGCUGCUGCCUACAUGUGGGUCAAAGGUUAGUAGUACACUAUCCCAGGCUGUUCUGCUGGGAUAGUAUGCCAUCUUGCACUAUUUUGGUAGAAGUUGACCAUUUUUAACUGUCUUGGCAGGAUAGUACAUGAUUUUGGACUAUUUUGCUAUGAUGGGAUGUUUUUUGUGGUGUUUUGUUCAAAAUAGUACACCAUUUUGUGAAGUCAUCCCCCUCCUAAAAAAAAUUUCAUACUAAAAAAACACCAAAAACACAAUUUUAGCCAUCACCCAUAAAAUAGUUUACUAUCUGACUAUCCAGAGGCACAGCAGACUCAGGUAGUCAAGGAUUUCACAGAGGAGGCCUUGAAACAUAAACCCCCAAAAAACACAAUUUUGAACUAUUUUGACUAUUAGCCCCAAAAUAGAACACCAUCUGACUAUCCAUAAAGUGAGGGACUAAAUUAUACAUCACAAAAAAUAUAGUCAUAUUUGAAGAGCAAAAAAACAUUGAUAGUAACAUUUUCAACACAAAACCACAAAGGAAACCCAUAGUUUUAACUAUUGACCAAAGCAGUGUACUAUCUGACUAUCCCCAGUCACAGCAGAGCCCCAGAGGAGCUAGCACAGACCAGUGUUGUUGUUGUUGUUGUUGUUGAUCCUGCUAUGGGUGGUGCUGAUGGAGCCCCAUGUGGAGCUGUCCCUGGCUGUCACCAUCACCACCUCCCUGCCACACUCUCUCUCUCUCUCUCAAAAGCCACAAGUUCCUUUAGUGCUCUGAACAUUUUUUGUUUUUGUAAAGGCAUUUUAAAGGUUGGAGCAAAGCCUUGAAUGAUGAGCACCUUUGUUGACCUGAGUGAGACCUCUGCUACAGCCCCACAUGACAGAAGAGACAACUAGUGGGCCGUGUGUGGUGAACCCGUUUUGUCUGUCAGAGCCACCCCUACAGCCACACACCACCACCACCACCACAACUAGCAGGAGAGGGCAUCCACCACCUCCUCCUCCAGCAGCUGGCCAGGGCACAGGACCAGGCUGAGCAAGCAGGUGGUGAUGCAGAGGGUGGCCAGCUUGCCCGCCCCCUCCUGUUGGCCAGCCACAGCACAGCACACAGCUGCAGUCUGUUGCGGCCAGGCUACUGAGGCACAAGUCUAUGCACGCGUCCGGGACAUGAAGGUGACGAG